ensembl:lncRNA
ACUGUGUUAACUUUUUGACACUUCUUUGAAGGUGCCCAAUGUGCUAGUACACACAGCUUAAUAAGUGUUUAUGAUUAAAUAAAUACGUUCAUGAAAUCCUAAGCAAGUGUAACCCAUAGCUUUGAUCUGAUAUGUAGUGUGGUCCUCCAGUCAAAUGGAGCUUAUUCCCACUUGAUGUAAGCCAAAAGGCCGAGAAGUAAUGGGGCUUAUUCCCAAAGUGCUGACUUCAAGGGUUCAUGCCCUCGCUUCCUUUUUUUUAAUGGAAAAUUUUGAGGGGAAAAAUGCAAGGACAGAACAAAUACCUUAUUAAUGAAAAUAGUAGCUAACUGUUAACUACUUUGAUUCACUUUAAUCCUCAAAUGGUAUUAGCCUCAUUUUGCAGUUUGAGAAAAUAGGCUCAGAGAUGUUAAAGUGACAGGCCCAGAAUUUGGAAUGCAUGUCUUCUGGUGACAAAUUUCUGUUUAUUUUACUACCACAUGGCUUUUUUUAAGCCAGCCUGCGUUUUCCAGUGGGGAGGUUACUAGGGGGAGGUUAAGUCUUUGACUCAAGUGAACAUCACCUGUAGUAUCCACCUGAUGCCACCAGGGUGUCCCAUGGUGCUAUCUUUCAUCCAACAUCUUAGCCAGGUUGCUGGGGGCUGCUUCAAAGAGUUAAUCUAGUAAUAGUGGCCAUGGCCCAGGGCCCAGCAGCAAGAAAGUGGGAUGUUUAGUUCCCUGGCUUUCCAGUGUGUAGUGUACAGCCAGCAUCGGAGAAGCCCUUGCCCUCUUUUGACCCCUACUAGUCAGUCUGGCCCCACAGAAGGAGAGCAUAUCAUAACAGUGGCCAGGGCCUGGCUAGCCACUCUAACUAGGCAGCAGCCUCACAAAGGACAGUGCAUAGAAAAGACCCUAUGAAUGCAUAAAUGUCUACAAAUGUGCAUUUAUUUUGGUAGCUGAGUACACGCUUACACAAAUUUGUGUUAGUAAAAUAGAUCCACAACACAAAACCAGAUUGAAUUGCUUUACCAUUCUAGGUAGAUGAGUUUUAAAAGCCAGUGUGUAGUGACUUCACACUUUUCCAGUUUACAAUAAAAGCCUGCAUUUCCACUUAGCCCUGAGUAUACAGCCUCUUCGGCAACAGUUUUGAUAAUCAGCAACCCUAGAUGACAAUCUUUGGUGUCAAAGCUAUCACUUAUGUGAGAACCAAUGAGGUGAAGUCUCAUUUUUAGUAUUAAAGAGAGCAAAUAUUCCCUUUAAAAAUGUGCUUCCUUCCCAGUGCUCUUUAAGUGCUUUGUACAAAUGUCUAACUGGUCUAUAAUUAUUUCAAGUUUUGAUUUCACCACUGGAGGAGAUCCUUAAAAGUAUCCCCAGUGACUGAGACGGUUCCUGGCAUUUAAUAGGUGAUCAAAAAAUAUUUGUUUCUUGAGAUAGCAAAGCCUCCAUAAUAGUUACGGGAUAGUGCUACACGUGAGCCACUGUUCUAAGGAGAAAGUUCACAUUAGGGAGGUCUUUGUUUUGUCUUCAAGCUGAUUAGAAUCCAUUGUGAACUGCAAAGUUAGUCCCUGGAGUGUCCUUGCCGGCCUUGCAAAAUCUUGACUGUGUCAUUCUAGGUUGGAAUUGGCACAGCCUGAAUUUGAGGCUGGAGCAGAGCUGAUUCUCUAGGUAUCACCCUUGCAGUAUUUCUAGGACCAGGUUUUUACCAGGGCUUUUAGAACCACCAGGAGAGACUUACUAAAUUAAAGUAAACGUUACUGAUUGGAGAUGUUGGACUUGUGGUGCCCUUUUCCCUCUCCUCUCCCUGUUUUCCUAGGUGAGUUUGCUCCCAAAAUUCCUGUGGUUUUUAAGGAGAUCACUGGAAUAAGUCCCAAACCCACUUCUAGUAGUCAAGCUUCCUUUUCAGUUUUCUCAACUCUUCUCUGGUGAGACAGCUAAUCAGAGAUUAUAGUACCAACUCGGACCCUUCCAUAUGCUUUGCGAAUUCUGGUCUUCUUUCUUCACGUCUAGCAGAGAACUUGCUGCCACUGCUUGGGCAACCAAGAGUGAAAUGUGUGAAGUAGUGGUUGUGGAUGGCAGGCUAAUGCAAGGGAGAAGAAGAAGUACCGACUGAGAAAGAGACAGCCAUAAAAUCUGCGUGUAUUAAUAUGCUAACUGUUUGGAGACUUCUGAGAAACAGUAUCCUUCCUGAACUCUGGACUAUCCUCAAAUCUGGCUAUUUCCCUGAUGUGUUUACCUGCUUCUGCCACUGAUCCAAAUUGCAGAACUUCUCAUUCGUCCUAAGACCUCCAGACGGCAUCCACCAGGGAACUGACUCUAAAAGGAACCAGACCAACAUUUUCCAGCCCCUUCACUCUGUAGCUACCUCUAUGUGAGGAAAGGAGAGAAAACGUUCAGGACAUCGUCAUGCAAAGUUCCAGUAGCAGUGACGCCUACACGGAAGACUUGGAACUGCAGAGGCUGGGGUCACCUCAGUGACAUCUGAUGCUGUCCAACCAGAAGUUCGAUUUUUGUUUUGGGGUGGUGGGGUGAGGAAGCACACUGUAUACUGAAGGACUAAAAUAAUUUCUUGUCUACAAUUUCGAAAGCACUUGUUUUAAUUUCUUUGGCGGGAGAGGGGGUGUUCGGGUAGAAUUGCACGUCAUAUCUGGAGUUAAGGGGAGGAUGGGGAAGCU